rnacentral:rRNA from 1 species
UACGGAGGGUGCGAGCGUUGUCCGGAAUCACUGGGCGUAAAGGGCGCGUAGGCGGCUUGGGAAGUCUGUGGUGAAAGCUCGUGGCUCAACUGCGAGUCGGCCAUAGAUACUCCUAAGCUCGAGUCGACUAGAGGCAGAUGGAAUUCCGGGUGUAGCGGUGGAAUGCGUAGAGAUCCGGAAGAACACCGGUGGCGAAGGCGGCUUUCUGGUCUGCUCUUGACGCUGAGGCGCGAAAGCUAGGGUAGCAAACGGG